rnacentral:rRNA from 1 species
GAUGAACGCUGGCGGCGUGCUUAACACAUGCAAGUCGAACGGAAAGGCUCCUGCUUGCCGGGGUACUCGAGUGGCGAACGGGUGAGUAACACGUGGGUGAUCUGCCCUGCACUUCGGGAUAAGCCUGGGAAACUGGGUCUAAUACCGGAUAGGACGAUGGUUUGGAUGCCAUUGUGGAAAGUUUUUCGGUGUGGGAUGAGCUCGCGGCCUAUCAGCUUGUUGGUGGGGUAAUGGCCUACCAAGGCGUCGACGGGUAGCCGGCCUGAGAGGGUGUACGGCCACAUUGGGACUGAGAUACGGCCCAGACUCCUACGGGAGGCAGCAGUGGGGAAUAUUGCACAAUGGGCGCAAGCCUGAUGCAGCGACGCCGCGUGGGGGAUGACGGCCUUCGGGUUGUAAACUCCUUUCGCUAGGGACGAAGCGCAAAUGACGGUACCUGGAGAAGAAGCACCGGCUAACUACGUG